UUUUCCUUCCUCCGCAGUGGUGGCUCUCAGCAGCGCGCACCAAGCUCUCCGGGCAGAUUGGCUGUAGUCGCUCCGCUCAGUACCCCUCGCCCUGGCCGCUCCCACAGUUGGGCGGUUGUGGAACUUCUGGUCAUUUCUCCUGACCCCAAGGUGCCCAGAGCUGGCGCUCAGACGUCACAGAUAACGGAAGACCCUCACCAGGUCCCCUCCAGAGCCUCAGGAUCCGUUGUUUAAUUCACCCUCCCAAGUAGUCAGGACGACCAGCAAGAAGAACAAGGCUUCCAGAUUUGGUCUGGACCCAGCUGAAUGUGCCUCCCUCACAGCUCCCUCCACCACCCCAUACCCAUUAGACGAGCUGACGGAUGACACAGUCAUCGUGGUCUGAAGAAAAUCACACUUCCUGAGAGGGGGUGACGCUUCCUUCCUUGUUCUGCUCCCAGGUCUUCCUCCAGGUUCCUGUUUCACCAGCAAAAGGCUCUUUGCAGGAAGUGCCGGGACUGAACAACAGGCUAGAACAUGGAGAUCCUCAGGCCUUUGAGUAACUUUCUUGACACUGACGUUUUGUUAUACCCAAGUUUUACUUUCUGACAAAAUAAAUGAGAAAAAAAUGGACAAACUCUUGCUGAGCAGAAUAAUACAUCAAGGUGGCGCUUACCAUGUGUGGCGAGUUAAGCUCUCUUUGCUGCUCAGACAGUCUUGGAAGUUGCUUCCCAGCAUGUGGCAGGGUACCACACAGCGGAGCCUUCCCCCCGGAGGCAGAGGUUCCCUGCUCCCCGGACGUCUGGCUUUUCUCCUGUUGGACAUCAUGAUCAGUCUGUUGCUGGUGGCAUCUUAGGCCUGGGGGUCCCACGACUUUUUCUACUCGUCUCUCUCCCUCCAGCAUCAGCCUAUG